UUUCUUUGCAGAUGAACCUGAUGAUGAAGAUGAUCUGGAUUCCCCUGAUGAUGAAGAUGAUCUGGAUUCCCCGUCCAUAUCAGUUACUGAGCCUGAUGAUGAGGAAGAUUAUGAGGGACCACCUCUGCAGCUUCAGAAGACCAGCCAAAGAUUUUAGUCUCUGAGAAGCUGACCUGUUAUCCUCGCUCUUCACAUCUCUCCCCAUCUGCUGUGCUGUGGCUGCAUCCCCGUCUUGAGGGCAUCCCAAGACUCGGACCUCCCAAGCGAGACCCUCUGCCCCUGAGCCCCCUGACCCUGGUCCCUGGCCAGGACUGAAAUUGGGCAGCCCCUGUCCACCAGAGCAGGGGUUGGCCCAUGUUUUUUGUUCUAAUAAAGAGAUGGAGCUGUCA